rnacentral:rRNA from 1 species
UUUUAUGAGAGUUUGAUCCUGGCUCAGGACGAACGCUGGCGGCGUGCCUAAUACAUGCAAGUCGAACGCUUCUUUUUCCACCGGAGCUUGCUCCACCGGAAAAAGAGGAGUGGCGAACGGGUGAGUAACACGUGGGUAACCUGCCCAUCAGAAGGGGAUAACACUUGGAAACAGGUGCUAAUACCGUAUAACAAUCGAAACCGCAUGGUUUUGAUUUGAAAGGCGCUUUCGGGUGUCGCU